rnacentral:sRNA from 2 species
AUAACACAGCGAAAGGAGCGGGGAAUACACAAUAAUGGGUUUGUCAAACACUUCCAUGAGUGAAGGUCACAACGAUGAAGUUAGACAGAUGAUUGAAGCCCUGCCUCCUGGAAGCAGCCAAUAUGAUGCUGAAGGUCUCGGGGCAGAGGACCUUGAGGAGCUUCUUCAAAGGGAUCGCUUAUUCACUCAUACUGAACACUAUGACAGUGAUGGAAAACGAAUCUUGGACAGCUAUGUUGUGUUUAAGAAUGUAGCUCCAGAUACAAUGCGAGACUUCUCCAACCAAAGGCAUCUUGGACGCAUCAA